GCGAGCGGCGGAUGGGUGAGUAACACGUGGGGAACCUGCCCCUAAGUCUGGGAUACCAUUUGGAAACAGGUGCUAAUACCGGAUAAUAAAGCAGAUCGCAUGAUCAGCUUUUGAAAGGCGGCGUAAGCUGUCGCUAAGGGAUGGCCCCGCGGUGCAUUAGCUAGUUGGUAAGGUAACGGCUUACCAAGGCGACGAUGCAUAGCCGAGUUGAGAGACUGAUCGGCCACAUUGGGACUGAGACACGGCCCAAACUCCUACGGGAGGCAGCAGUAGGGAAUCUUCCACAAUGGAUGCAAGUCUGAUGGAGCAACGCCGCGUGAGUGAAGAAGGUUUUCGGAUCGUAAAGCUCUGUUGUUGGUGAAGAAGGAUAGAGGUAGUAACUGGCCUUUAUUUGACGGUAAUCAACCAGAAAGUCACGGCUAACUACGUGCCAGCAGCCGCGGUAAUACGUAGGUGGCAAGCGUUGUCCGGAUUUAUUGGGCGUAAAGCGAGCGCAGGCGGAAAAAUAAGUCUAAUGUGAAAGCCCUCGGCUUAACCGAGGAACUGCAUCGGAAACUGUUUUUCUUGAGUGCAGAAGAGGAGAGUGGAACUCCAUGUGUAGCGGUGGAAUGCGUAGAUAUAUGGAAGAACACCAGUGGCGAAGGCGGCUCUCUGGUCUGCAACUGACGCUGAGGCUCGAAAGCAUGGGUAGCGAACAGGAUUAGAUACCCUGGUAGUCCAUGCCGUAAACGAUGAGUGCUAAGUGUUGGGAGGUUUCCGCCUCUCAGUGCUGCAGCUAACGCAUUAAGCACUCCGCC
rnacentral:rRNA from 1 species